CUGACAGAAACUGCAUUGCACUCCUCGGCCUUCAGGGUGGAUUGAUUUGUUGGGGGAGAGUGAUUCGAUCUUCUCUCGACAGCCCACUAAUUCUAGAAGGGCAAAAUGUCUGUACCCGUUUCGAAGGCUGACAGAGUACCACCGAUAGAGGAGGACAAAAUGUCUGUAUCCCCUCCGAAGACUGACAGAGUACCACCGAAUGAUAACCCCCCUGCCCUGCACCCGCCAAGUACAGCACCGAAGGACACCCAAGCAAAAGCUGGGACUGCGAAGAACUUGCCUUCUACAUCUAAGGAUAAGAAGACUACGCCAUGAUCGAGGGGACGGAGUCAGCAUCUACUUGCAGUACUAUCUGGUGUUACGUGACAUGCGUGUUUGUGUUUAACUAUUUUAUGUAUGUGGCUGCAUUUUAUUUUUAAAAUAAGACUCCAUCUACAUUCUGGUGUCAAAUGUGGUGGAAGAGAAGUGUGCUGUUGCCAAGCUUCUAUAUGAGACUCCUGAACAACUCACAGUGGGUGUUGAAUGUUUUAUUAUUUAUGUCGUUAUAUCAUAACUUUGCAUAACAACUCA